rnacentral:rRNA from 1 species
AACGAACGCUGGCGGCAUGCCUAACACAUGCAAGUCGAACGAGACCUUCGGGUCUAGUGGCGCACGGGUGCGUCACGCGUGGGAACCUGCCCUUAGGUUCGGAAUACCUCCUCGACAGGGGUGCUAAUACCGGAUAAUGUCUUCGGACCCAAGAUUGAUCGACCUUGGAGGGGCACGCGUUGGAUUAGCUUGUUGGUAGGGUAAAAGCCUAUCACGGCGACGCUACAUAGCUGGUCUGAGAGGAAGAGCAGCCACACUGGGACUAGGAUACGGCCGGGACUCCUACGGGAGGGAGCAGUGGGGGAUAUAGCAAAAUGGGGGAGAGCAUGAACCAGCUAGGCCGGGUAAGUGAUGAAGGCCGGAGGGAAGUAAAGCUCGUUAACCCGGGAUGAUAAUGACAGUACCGGAAGAAUAAGCACCGGCUAACUCCGUG